rnacentral:lncRNA from 1 species
GUAAUUACUAGUUCAUCUAUUUUGGCAGGAAAAAAAUGUUAAAGAAAUGAAUUUAGCAGAAAGAUUUGUUUUCUUUCUUUCUCCCUCUUUUUCUCUUCCUCUCUUCUUUUCUUUUCUCUUUCUUUUUCUCCCCUCCUCUUCCCAUCUCACUUCCUCGCAAACUCCCACCUCUCCUUCCUUCCUUCCUUUUUAUAAGCCCAACCCUACAACUGCUGAAAACCUGCAAGAGGGGCUGGUCAAUAGACAUAUGGAGCUAGGGCUGACAGGAAGUUAUCCUGCUACUGCUCCAACCAGGUCAAACCAAUUUUAUGUUGCUCCCAGACAAGGCACAGUGCAUGGGAGAUGCUGAAGGUACAGGGCACCAGAGGCUUGUCAUACUGUACAAGUCCAAGGAAAAUAACACUGAGUUGCCUUCAGUUUGAGAAACUGGAGUCCAAGGUCUUUGAUUUCCUUUUCCAUCCUUGGGGACUUUAGGGGUUUGAUCUUUGUCUCUACCCA